rnacentral:rRNA from 1 species
UGGAUCCAGACUUUGAUUAUGGCUCAGGAUGAACGCUAGCUACAGGCUUAACACAUGCAAGUCGAGGGGAAACGACAUCGAAAGCUUGCUUUUGAUGGGCGUCGACCGGCGCACGGGUGAGUAACGCGUAUCCAACCUGCCCAUCACUUGGGGAUAACCUUGCGAAAGUAAGACUGAUACCCAAUGAUAUCUCUAGAAGACAUCUGAAAGAGAUUAAAGAUUUAUCGGUGAUGGAUGGGGAUGCGUCUGAUUAGCUUGUUGGCGGGGUAACGGCCCAUCAAGGCGACGAUCAGUAGGGGUUCUGAGGGGAAGGUCCCCCACAUUGGAACUGAGACACGGUCCAAACUCCUACGGGAGGCAGCAGUGAGGAAUAUUGGUCAAUGGACGAGAGUCUGAACCAGCCAAGUAGCGUGCAGGAUGACGGCCCUAUGGGUUGUAAACUGCUUUUAUAAGGGAAUAAAGUGAGAGUCGUGACUCUUUUUGCAUGUACCUUAUGAAUAAGGACCGGCUAAUUCCGUGCCAGCAGCCGCGGUAAUACGGAAGGUCCGGGCGUUAUCCGGAUUUAUUGGGUUUAAAGGGAGCGUAGGCCGGAGAUUAAGCGUGUUGUGAAAUGUAGACGCUCAACGUCUGCACUGCAGCGCGAACUGGUUUCCUUGAGUACGCACAAAGUGGGCGGAAUUCGUGGUGUAGCGGUGAAAUGCUUAGAUAUCACGAAGAACUCCGAUUGCGAAGGCAGCUCACUGGAGCGCAACUGACGCUGAAGCUCGAAAGUGCGGGUAUCGAACAGGAUUAGAUACCCUGGUAGUCCGCACGGUAAACGAUGGAUGCCCGCUGUUGGUCUGAAUAGGUCAGCGGCCAAGCGAAAGCAUUAAGCAUCCCACCUGGGGAGUACGCCGGCAACGGUGCAACUCAAAGGAAUUGACGGA